GGUUGCCAUGGGUGCUGUGUUUGUGUAGAGCUUCAGCAGGACGUGGUGCUGCGAACAUUCAUCUUGCCUCUGCCUGGUGAUCUGGUGAGCAGGUGCUGCUGUUUGUGGGAGGAAGGGGCCAGCUGCCCAUGGGAUAGCAGCAACUGUGUGGCCUCCCCAGGCUGGUGGCCAGGGGGCUGCCUUCCCCAUCAGGGGUGGGACCCACUCAGAGUACUUUUGCUUUUGGAACUCAGCCAGACAUCUGUUUUGGAAUGGAGAUAAUCAUUCUCACCACCGAGGGGUGCUGUGAGGAUCGGGCAAGGCCACAAGGUAAGGACUGGAUCAACCUGAGGCACAGCGCAAGCUUCCCUUGCUCCAGCCACACAGCGGGACUCUAGUCUAUGCAAAUCUUUGCCAAAUACAUCUGAUCUUGCCAAUUGUCUUAGUCUGUUUAGGUUGCUGUAACAAAAUACCAUAAACCAGGUGGCUUAUAAAAACAGAAAUUUAUUUCUCACAGUUCUGGAGGCUGGAAAGCCCACCAUUGAGGUGGCUGGCAGAUUUGAUGUCUUGUGAGGGCCCAUUUCCUGGUGCACAGAUGGUAGCUUCUUGCUAUGUUCUCACCUGGUGGAAGGGACCAGGCAGCUCUCUGGGGUCUCUUUUAUAAGGAUGCUCAUCCCAUUCACAAGACCCCUGCCCUCAUGACUUAAUCACCUCCCAAAUUCCCCACUUCCUAAUACCAUCACCUUGAGGAUUAGGUUUCAAUGUCUGAAUUUCGGGAGAGACACAGACAUUCAGACCCUAGCACCGACUCUCGCUACUUCUCUUAAUAUUACCUCAUAUGCUUCAUUCCAGCGUGACCUUUUAGCACUCUCGGCCUCUUCUGUGAUCCUGAAGUUAUGUUUGACACUGGUGGCAUAGGUAGCAUCCACAUCUGUUGGAUGGAAAGCUUCUCCAAGCAGGGGCCUCUCCCUUCCUCCUUACAGAGCCCAGCAUGCAGGAAAUGUGCAGCGUGUGUCUAUUCCUAGGUGGACAAAUGCAUCCACGAACGAGGAGCUGGCACCUC
rnacentral:lncRNA from 1 species